CCCCUAGACGUUCUGGGCUGCACGCGCGCUACAAUAAUACGCACAGCGAGUAUCACCGAGCUCGAAAGGGCAAGGUAAACAAUAGAAAAGGUACUGUAAUGGUUAUAGAUCCUUGUAAUUAUUGAUCUUCAACGGGGAAUUCCUAGUAAGUAUGUGUCAUCAUCACGCACUGAUUACGUCCCUGCCCUUUGUACACACCGCCCGUCGCUCCUACCGAUUGGGUGAGCCGAUGAAACUCUCGGAUGUAGGCUAUUCAUAGCCCGCAGAAGAGAUUUGAAUCGUAGCGCUUAGAGGAAGGAGAAGUCGUAACA
rnacentral:rRNA from 1 species